rnacentral:rRNA from 1 species
UACGUAGGGUGCAAGCGUUGUCCGGAAUUAUUGGGCGUAAAGGGCUCGUAGGCGGUUUGUCGCGUCGGGUGUGAAAUCCACUGGCUUAACUGGGGGCUUGCUUUCGAUACGGGCAGACUGGAGGUACGCAGGGGAGAACGGAAUUCCUGGUGUAGCGGUGAAAUGCGCAGAUAUCAGGAGGAACACCGGUGGCGAAAGCGGUUCUCUGGGCAUGUCCUGACGCUGAGGAGCGAAAGUGUGGGGAGCGAACAGG